rnacentral:rRNA from 1 species
GACGAACGUUGGCGGCGUGCUUAACACAUGCAAGUCGAACGGAAAGGCCCUGCUUUUGUGGGGUGCUCGAGUGGCGAACGGGUGAGUAACACGUGAGUAACCUGCCCUUGACUUUGGGAUAACUUCAGGAAACUGGGGCUAAUACCGGAUAGGAGCUCCUGCUGCAUGGUGGGGGUUGGAAAGUUUCGGCGGUUGGGGAUGGACUCGCGGCUUAUCAGCUUGUUGGUGGGGUAGUGGCUUACCAAGGCUUUGACGGGUAGCCGGCCUGAGAGGGUGACCGGCCACAUUGGGACUGAGAUACGGCCCAGACUCCUACGGGAGGCAGCAGUGGGGAAUAUUGCACAAUGGGCGGAAGCCUGAUGCAGCAACGCCGCGUGCGGGAUGACGGCCUUCGGGUUGUAAACCGCUUUCGCCUGUGACGAAGCGUGAGUGACGGUAAUGGGUAAAGAAGCACCGACUAACUACGUG